AUUGUUUAUCCAAUCUCUAAAAUUUAUAGAGGCAUUAACUUUGUUCUUUGCUGUAUUCUUCAAGCAGUGAAAAUGCAUUCCUUCUCCCUUCUGAAAGCUCAGCAAAUGUUUGUAACCAGAUGUUCCUUGUUUCAUAUGUUUACUGUGUAACACUACAGCAUAUUUAAUAUUAGUAAAACUGUAUUUCAGUCGUAAUGCAUAAAUACAUUCCUGAGGUAUAUUUGCCAUCAGUUCGGGAUUCAGUUACUUCAUACUUCAUUUGCUUCAGAAAAAUAUUGAGCUAUUUGAGGUGGUAUGCAGGCCAUUUUCUGGAUUAGAGUGUUUUUUGAAUCUGUAGCUUAUUGCGGGCUCCCUUUGUGAAGAUGAACUAGAAAAGGAGAGUGUAUAUAGAAAAGGCCCUUGAUUUGCUAAAUGUAAUUUCCAGGAUUAAAAUUUUUAAUUCCAUAUUAUAAAAUGUAAGCAUUCAAACCUCCUAAAAAUCUUCUGAAUUAAAAUUAGUAUGAAAUUUGUAUGGAGCCAAGUGCUUUUAGGUCACCCUGAAACAAUCUUUUUGUAUGAAGGAUAAACACAAACAUUGGUCAGAGACCUUUACAGCUAACUUAUGAAGGGGCCUAGGGCAGUAACUGGGUUACACUAAAGUUAUUUUCAACUGAGAUAGCUGGAAGAGUGUACAAGUGAACAGCUCCAAUUCUGGAAGGUUUUCUUUUAACUUAAAAAAAAAGUAAAGGGCCAAAAGUCAAGAAAGAAGGGAAGAGAAACUGGGCUCUGAGAAAAAAAAUAGUGCCAGUGUGAAAUAAAUUCCUAAAUGUGUGCUUAUCAUCCUUCUAGGUUUUUUAAAAUUUGCAUUUCUUUAGCAGUAUAAGUUAAGAUUUGAGAUUUAGAUUUUGUGGUCCAGAACAUACCCUCAGCAGACACAGCGACUAAUCAGAAAGUACAGUUGUUCAAGGUCUGUCAUGCUCAAUCACUUAAAGCUGUAAUUUGUUUGAUAUGAAUAUUAAGCAUGUAGACCUAGUGCAGCAUGGGAGCCACUCAGGAAGUUUAUGCAAUUGAUAAACUUUCAUGCAUAAUUUACUAUGAAGUAUGCAGAAUUUUAGCCACUUUUCUACACUUAACAUUUAGUUGUACAUGUGAACUCUCCUUUCUUAACUGGGGAAUGUAGCAUUAUAGAGAAUGUUAUUAAACUUAAUUUUAAUCCUUUUUGACAUUAACUUGGGGGGUGGGAAACCAAGUGAUCUGCCUUUCAGCAAUAGUCUGAUUUUGGUUCUCUGAAACUGAUUUUUAUUUCAUUUGUACCCAACCAUUGUUAAGUAUUUUGUUUUGUUUCCUGGAAAUUUUGUUUUGAAACAGAA
ensembl:lncRNA